CCUACGGGAGACAGCAGUGAGGAAUAUUGGUCAAUGGACGGGAGUCUGAACCAGCCAUGCCGCGUGAGGGAUGACGGCUCUAUGGAUUGUAAACCUCUUUUGUCCGGGAGUAAUAGAUGUUACGUGUGGCGAUUUGAGUGUAUCCGACGAAUAAGCAUCGGCUAACUCCGUGCCAGCAGCCGCGGUAAUACGGAGGAUUCGAGCGUUAUCCGGAUUUAUUGGGUUUAAAGGGUGCGUAGGCGGUUGGAUAAGUUAGAGGUUAAAUGUGGGGGCUUAACCCCGUGCGGGCCUUUGAAACUGUUAGACUAGAGAGCGGAUGAAGUAGGCGGAAUGAGUAGUGUAGCGGUGAAAUGCUUAGAUAUCACUCAGAACACCGAUUGCGAAGGCAGCUUGCUAAUCCGCAUCGGACGCUGAUGCACGAAAGUGUGGGUAGCGAACAGGAUUAGAUACCCGAGUAGUC
rnacentral:rRNA from 1 species